rnacentral:rRNA from 1 species
GAUGAACGCUAGCGGCAGGCUUAACACAUGCAAGUCGAGGGGUAUAUAUUGGUUUACUGAUAUAGAGACCGGCGCACGGGUGCGUAACGCGUAUGGAAUCUGCCUUAUACAGGGGUAUAGCCCGGAGAAAUCCGGAUUAAUCCCCCAUAGCAUUACUAAAGGGCAUCUUUUAGUAAUUAAAGCUUCGGUGGUAUAAGAUGACCAUGCGUCUUAUUAGCUGGUUGGUGAGGUAACGGCUCACCAAGGCUACGAUAAGUAGGGGUCCUGAGAGGGAGAUCCCCCACACUGGUACUGAGACACGGACCAGACUCCUACGGGAGGCAGCAGUGAGGAAUAUUGGACAAUGGUCGAAAGACUGAUCCAGCCAUGCCGCGUGCAGGAUGACGGCCUUAUGGGUUGUAAACUGCUUUUCUGGAAGAAGAAUAAUAUUGACGUGUCAAUAGAUGACGGUACUCCAGGAAUAAGCAUCGGCUAACUCCG